AGAGUUUGAUCAUGGCUCAGGAUGAACGCUGGCGGCGUGCCUAACACAUGCAAGUUGAGCGAGAAAUCACUUAAAGAAGCUUCGGUAGACUUAAGAGAUGGAGAGCAGCGGACGGGUGAGUAACGCGUGGGAAACCUGCCCUUGACAGGAGGAUAGCCGAGAGAAAUUUCGAUUAAUACUUCAUAAAGCAGAGCAUUCGCAUGGAUGAACUGCCAAAGAAUUAUCGGUCAAGGAUGGUCCCGCGUCUGAUUAGCUGGUUGGUAAGGUAGCGGCUUACCAAGGCGACGAUGGGUAGGGGAACUGAGAGGUUUAUCCCCCACACUGGUACUGAGACACGGACCAGACUCCUACGGGAGGCAGCAGUGAGGAAUAUUGGUCAAUGGGCGAGAGCCUGAACCAGCCAAGUCGCGUGAAGGAMGACWGUCSKAAGGAUUGUAAACUUCUUUUAUACGGGAAUAACGGGCGAUACGAGUAUUGCAUUGAAUGUACCGUAAGAAUAAGCAUCGGGCUAAACUCCGUGGCCAGCAG
rnacentral:rRNA from 1 species